rnacentral:rRNA from 1 species
GUGUCAGCAGCCGCGGUAAUACGGAGGGUGCAAGCGUUAUUCGGAAUUACUGGGCGUAAAGCGCGUGCAGGCGGGUGGACAAGUCUGAUGUGAAAGCCCCGGGCUCAACCUGGGAAGUGCAUUGGAAACUGUUCAUCUUGAGUGCUGGAGAGGAAGGGGGAAUUCCCGGUGUAGAGGUGAAAUUCGUAGAGAUCGGGAGGAAUACCAGUGGCGAAGGCGCCCUUCUGGACGGCAACUGACGCUGAGACGCGAAAGCGUGGGGAGCAAACAGGAUUAGAAACCCUCGUAGUCC